AAGCACCGGCUAACUCCGUGCCAGCAGCCGCGGUAAUACGGAGGGUGCGAGCGUUAAUCGGAAUUACUGGGCGUAAAGCGCAUGCAGGUGGUUUGUUAAGUCAGAUGUGAAAAGCCCGGGGCUCAACCUCGGAAUUGCAUUUGAAACUGGCAAACUAGAGUACUGUAGAGGGGGUAGAAUUUCAGGUGUAGCGGUGAAAUGCGUAGAGAUCUGAAGGAAUACCGGUGGCGAAGGCGGCCCCCUGGANAGAUACUGACACUCAGAUGCGAAAGCGUGGGGAGCAAACAGGAUUAGAUACCCUGGUAG
rnacentral:rRNA from 1 species